GACGUAGGGGGCAAGCGUUGUCCGGAAUCAUUGGGCGUAAAGCGCGUGUAGGCGGCCCGGUAAGUCCGCUGUGAAAGUCCAGGGCUCAACCCUGGAAUGCCGGUGGAUACUGUCGGGCUCGAGUCCGGAAGAGGCGAGUGGAAUUCCUGGUGUAGCGGUGAAAUGCGCAGAUAUCAGGAGGAACACCAAUGGCGAAGGCAGCUCGCUGGGACGGUACUGACGCUGAGACGCGAAAGCGUGGGGAGCAAACAGG
rnacentral:rRNA from 1 species